GUUGGCCAGGCUGGUCUUGAACUCCUGACCUCAAGUGAUCCACACCCUUUAGCCUCCCAAAGUGUUGGGAUUACAGGCGUGAGCCACUGUACCAGCCAUUGAGUUCUUUUAACAUUACUCUGAUAAUUUUUUUCGUUAUUUGCCAUGACAGGGUUUUCCAGGUGCAUCUCGUACAUUUCUUACCCUAGACAUGGAAAUAGCCACUUCUUCAAGAAGACUUGGGUGUUGUUUUGAGGGGGAAUGAUAUUUUUAAGGUCACAACCUGUUUGUUAGAGAUGGUGAUUGUUUCUGAGCAUCUUCAGUGGACAAAGUUAUUUCAUGAGUUCAUACUGAUAGUUCUAACUUAAAUUCUGGAACACAAGUUUUGUUGUAUUUUUUUACUUAACCCCUGUAUUACACCUGUAUUUCCUUUCUUGCAUCCCAAAAUCUUAGUUCCCAAGGACAAAGGAGAUCAUAGAAUCAGAACAGUGCAUAAUUAAUCAUUUACUCAAUUCUAAUAUUACACACCCAAACAAUAUUAGUAGACCACUGGCAAUAUAGUUACUGAAAAUAACUAAAUUGUUUUUGCAAAUACUUUCUUCAUUCUCCCCAUUAAGAGUUUUGGCUGUGCUACAUCUAUAUUAUCUAAACAUGUAGCCUUAAAACUAUACUUUCCCCUUUUAUGAAUGCUUAUUUGAUCUUAGUUGUAUAGUAACUGUAUGUUUUACGUAUCGUAUUUAGUCCUACUCAUCAGUCCUUAUACAUAUGUCUCUCUAGUGAUUUCGAUGAUCUGAAGCUCAUUUCUAGUAUAUUCCUCAGUUAGGGCUCAUGGGAAUAAUAUUCCUUGAGUUCCUGCAUAUUGAUGACAGUCUGUUUAUGUUUUUUCUACCUGAAAGUCACUUUUACUGGGAAAAACGUCCUUUAAAGAUAUUUUCUUUAGACAUUUCUUUUCUUGAGUAUAUUAAUUAGGCUACUCUAUUUUCUUGUGUCAUAACAUAUUGCUAUUGUAACGUCUGAUGGUAACCUAAUUUUUUCUUUAUAAGCCACUUGCCUUUUUUUCUUGAAUCCUCAAUAAACUUUUUUUUUCUUUAAAAUCCAAUUAUUUUUAUUAGAAUACACCUUGUUGUUGGUGAUUUUGAGAUUAUAUUCUUAGAUGUGUGGUGUGCUCUUGUACUGUGUACUUUCAAUUAUCUUUUUUAAUUUCAGGAAAGUAUUUUUGAUUCAUUGUUUUUACUACUAUUUCUUAUCCUUAUUCUGAUUUUCUUCCUCAGGGAUUCCUAUAUUAUAUAAUUUAAAUCUUCUUUUCCUAUCUUCUCUUUGUCGAUUUCUCUUUAAUCCAUUUUAGCUCUUUAUUUCUUUUUGAUUUUUAAUUUUUUUUUCCUUUUCACCAAAUAUUCUCUUCAGGCAUAUUUAGUGCUUAUUUGCUUUUGUGUUCCUUCUAGUUUAGUCUUCACUUCUGAAACGACUUUUUCAUUUAUUUAUAAUUCUUUCCUAUCUUCUGUCACCUGAUUUCUGAGUUUUUCUAAUUCUGAUUUAUGCUGUUCUUUUACAUCUUGUAUCAUAUUCUUAAUGUCUUUUAGCUCAUUUUGAAAUAGGUUACAGUUUUGAUCUGUCCCUGUCUUUCUGAUAUGCUUUUAUUAUCUAUAGUGAUGUUAUUCUGCUCCUUAUUCUCUUUUAUCUUAUAAUAAAUUUGCAUGGGACUUGACUUCAAUACUUUUCUGCUGCUCAUUUUUAUGUGAGAUCAGUUUUCUUAAAUUUUAGAGGCCUGGCUCAGGUGGCUUUUGUAACUUUGGAGAGUUCCCUCUUCUGCCGUUUUCCAAGACUUCCUGGUUCUGUUUUCCUCCUCCACUACAAUCUGGAUCAUUUCUUUCCUUUGUCCCUAUUGGGCCUGAUUUGCUCAGAUUUAAUUCCAUUCCAGCAGUUUCACCUCAGUGCAAGAGCCUUUCCUGGAAAAGAGCUCCAUCCUGGAAGAAGGGUCAUAAGUGUUAGAUUCCUAAGGUUCCUCCAGUUCCUACCACAGGCCCCCUUGUACUGCCCAUUGUUGGACUGGAAACCUCCCAGUUUCAGUGGCUGUUUUUAAAUGGGCACACAGUGCUUUGUCUUUGAUUCUCUCUGCUUUCUGCGGCACAGACACUGAUACCACUCUGGUCUUGCAGCUGUUGGUGGUUUGUCCUCACUGGCUGAUAUUUAAGAUUUGUAAAGAAAUGUAAUCAUCUAAUUUCAUUGCAAAUGUUAGCCAUGGAUUUUUGUUUUGGUAUCUGAUUACUUUGUCUGUUUUAAUGCAGAAAUUCAGAGAGAUAAAAUAUGUAUGUUUAUCACAUCCACUGCCACCGUCUUCUUCUGAACACUAAGUAUUUGCCAAGCACUCUCUUACAUAUUGUCUCAUUCAAUUUUUACAACAUCCGGGUGGAGUAGGAAUAAUUAUCAUUCUUAUUUCAUAUAGAGGGAAACUCAGGCUUAGGAGGUCAAAUAGCUUUUGAAGUGGUAGAGCGGGGAUUUGAACCAAUGUCUGGGUGAUUACUAAGUCUGCUAAUCUUUAUGUCAAAAAUAUUUUAAAAUCAGUUCUUUAAAAUUUAAAAUAUAGAUUCCCAUAGAAUGUUUUCUAACCAAAAUAUUAUAAUUUAUGGUUAAUAAAAUAUUAGAAAAUAUUAGUUUUUGAGCAGAAGAAUUUGGAUGAUUUUUUUCUUUUGUGGACAUCCUCAAAUUUCUCUAAUGAGUCUACAUUAAGUAAAAAUGAAACAUCCAAUACAUCUUAUUUUAAAAAUUAAAACAAGCGUGGCUGCAUAGUUCUUUCGUGAGUCUUCAAAAGUUUAUUUAAUUCGUGAUGUACCUGGAAUAUAGUAUGUAUGUGUGUGUGGAUACUUAUGCAUACACAUACAUUUGAUUAAAGCGGCAAAUCAUGCGUCUGCAAAAGUAAUAGUAAUAGCAUAAUUGUUAAGAUGCUUAAUGGUUAAGGAUGUCAGAUUUACGUUUAGACAGACUUGAGUUUGAACACUGGGUCUUUGUCUUAUCUGGUUACCUUGGAUGACUUAUUCAGCUCAUUCAAGCUUCAGUAAAGUGGAAUAACUUCAAAGGAUUGUCCUGGUCAUAAAACGACGUAAUACAUGUGAUGCAAAGUACUUAAGGCGGUACUAAGCAAUAAUAAGCAGUCACCAAAUAUGAAUAGUUGUGAAACACAACAAUAACAAAAAAUCAGGCAUAGUAAAAAUAAAAGGAGGAUUGUAGCUAUUCUGAAAAAAAUUCUGUGUAAUGUCAAGCCUGCAGAAAUAGAUGGCUUUUUUGUUUGUUUGCUUUGCAGAGGGGAGGGGAUUUUUUUUUUAAACCAAUUUAUCAGAGAUCAAUGAGUGCCUUAAAAAUAUUUUCACAGCUGGAAGAAAUGAGAGUUAAAGUAAGUAAUCUUAGAAUAGGUGGUCCAGUGUGGAACUGACAGCUUACACAUCACAUAAAAGGCAUGUAUAGGUCAGAUACCUGUUGCAACUUGGAAAUUGACUUCCUGUAGUGUUCUGGGGACAGAUUGGAAAUUGCCCUGCUGAGCCAGUAUAUACUUGACAGAAAACUUAGGUCUCCCAAGGAACUGAUUUGGAAGGCCAUUUGUAACCCUGAUAACUGUAAACAAAUUGUACUGAAGUGGUAACUUCAAAUGUGUGUUGGUGCAAACUCUUAGGCUAUUCAACUGCAAUGAGUUUAAUUGGUUAUAAGAGUGUUGUUCUCCUUGGACAGCGUAAUACCCACCUCUCCUUCCCCACUGAAUUUGCUAUUUUGUGAUGGCUGCUGUUGAGAUAAUAGAAGCAUUUCAUUUUAUUGAGCGCAAAUACACGAUUAAAAUGUAUAAACAAGAUUUCUCCCUUUCAAAUUUUGGGCUGUAACAUCAUUUGUUCAGUGAUAAGCUGCCUGUUAGCAUCAUCCAUAAGAGAUAUGGAGGCCAUUUUCCGUAGCCACAAUGUGGGGAAGAUAGAGAAGGUUAGGAAUGGUGCAUUUAUUGUAAGAGGAAUUCCCCAGUGCUGCAGGCAGUGUGGCCAGUUGAGACACAUUUCUGGUAGUUAGUGAUUGGAUUUGUUCACCUGCCUUCCUGGGCCUGGCUCCCCACUGGGGAAGUCCGGUAAGGCUGACAGAUAAUAAGCUUCGGUGACAACAACUGUACCACUGACUCCAGUACACCUAUGAUGGGAAAUCCUAAGGUGAAAAGAAUCUGUGAGCUAACAUGGUGGCUAGAAAACCUCCUGCUACAAAUGUGAGUUGUGGUUGUCACUACACAGAUGAUUUUCAGCUGCAAGAAUCUAGAAUGGAUUCUCCUGAGGUUUCCAGUUUCUGUAGAAGGUAGAUUUUUUUUUUCUCCUGAACAACUAGAUGUGUUUAUUUUCUGAUAAGUAUUUUGUGACUCUUGAAACUAAUAAUGAUUAUCUCUUUGAUUUGAUCACUAGGGAGUCCCAUGUGUGUCUCAUCUCAACAAAUAUUAUAAUAUCCCUAAAGACAGGAGCUUUUAUGAGCAUCUGCUGUGUAUCAAACACUGCAUCAGGCAUUUUACAUUUUAGGAAGUUAAAUCAUACAGUGUGACACAGUCUUUGCCUAUUCCAAUGAUUACUGGACAUUUGAGAUUAAUUGAUUGUUUUCAGGUUAAGUGACAAUAACUAAAUAAUGACUUUCUAUCUCUUUGAGCCAGGUGGCACCUUUGAAUGGG